UACAGAGGUCCCAAGCGUUGUUCGGAUUCAUUGGGCGUAAAGGGUGCGUAGGCGGCGCGGUAAGUCGGGUGUGAAAUCUCGGGGCUUAACUCCGAAACUGCAUUCGAUACUGCCGUGCUUGAGGACUGGAGAGGAGACUGGAAUUUACGGUGUAGCGGUGAAAUGCGUAGAUAUCGUAAGGAAGACCAGUGGCGAAGGCGGGGUCUCUGGACAGUUCCUGACGCUGAGGCACGAAGGCCAGGGGAGCAAACGGGG
rnacentral:rRNA from 1 species